rnacentral:rRNA from 1 species
UACGGAGGGUGCAAGCGUUGUUCGGAUUUACUGGGCGUAAAGCGCGCGCAGGUGGGUGUGCAAGUCGGAAGUGAAAUCCCAGGGCUCAACCCUGGGGCUGCUCCCGAAACGGCACGCCUAGGGACUGGUAGAGGCUGGUAGAAUUCCCGGUGUAGCGGUGGAAUGCGUAGAGAUCGGGAAGAACACCGGUGGCGAGGGCGGCCUGCUGGGCUAUUGCUGACACUGAGGCGCGACAGCGUGGGGAGCAAACAGG